AAGACUAUACUUCACAGGAUCAUUUCUGUAGUCAGUCUUCACUUACUUUCACACUAACUGAAAGCCUCUUACACCCGCGUUGAUGAGAUACAUCGUUUUAUUCGGCAGCGUGAGGAUUUGUGUGAUGCUCUUUUGCGAUGUUACUUCGGUUACAUCGUACUGUGAGUAUUGCACUUCGAUGAUCGCUCGGUAACACGAAUAAAACGAAUUCUGAGUGGU